CGACAGUGCUAGUAGCGUGUAGUGAGUCGGCAGGAACGGUAGGACGUAACGAGUCGGCAUGCGUCCGCGGUGUGCUCUGCCCACGAGUCUGGUCAGGAAUGUGGUGGACGAUAUGUAUAUUAUUGUAGAAGUUUCCCACCACAGAAGAAGAGAUAGUGAGAGGUGCAGCGACAAACAGUAGCAGAGCAUUACCUGGGUGGAUCCUCGCUGAAAUUGCUGGAGAGGCCUGUCAAUCGCACGAGGAAGAUGAUGGCAAAGUGAUUCAAGUGUGUUCUACCGAGGCAGCAAUCGACAACGUGGGUCUCUAAAUAUAAAUGAGCGUCGAAGAUUCGCGACUUCGAGAACGUUAUGCCAUCAUUGUCAACUCUCCUCUGUGCGUUCUUAUUAAGUAGAUGAUCGAAACUGAUUCAUGUAUGAUGUAUUAGUUCACAAGAGGUCUUGAAUUUGUAAUGACCACUGUACAUGACA